rnacentral:lncRNA from 1 species
GGUUUUAAAUUCUAAACUGAACUUUUUCCAUUCAGUCAGCAUUAGGGUUUUAAACCCUAAACUGAACUGUUUCCUUUAGUCAGCAUUAGGGUUUUAAACCCUAAACUGAACUUUUUCCAUUCAGUCAGCAUUAGGGUUUUAAACCCUAAACUGAACUUUCCCUUUAGUCAUCAUUAGGGUUUUAAACCCUAAACUGAACUCUUUCCUUUAGUCAGCAUUAGGGUUUUAAACCCUAAACUGAACUUUUCCCUUCAGUCAGCAUUAGGGUUUUAGACCCUAAACUGAACUUUUCCUGUAGUCAGCAUUAGGGUUUUAAACCCUAAACUGAACUCUUUUCUAUUCAGUCAGCAUUAGGGUUUUAAACCCUAAACUGAACUUUUUCCAUUCAGUCAGCAUUAGGGUUUUAAACCCUAAACUGAACUCUUUCCUUUAGUCAGCAUUAGGGUUUUAAAUCCUAAACUGAACUUUUUCCAUUCAGUCAGCAUUAGGGUUUUAAACCCUAAACUGAACUGUUUCCUUUAGUCAGCAUUAGGGUUUUAAACCCUAAACUGAACUUUUUCAAUUCAGUCAGCAUUAGGGUUUUAAACCCUAAACUAAACUCUUUCCUUCAGUCAGCAUUAGGGUUUUAAACCCUAAACUGAACUUUUUCCAUUCAGUCAGCAUUAGGGUUUUAAACCCUAAACUGAACUUUUUCCAUUCAGUCAGCAUUAGGGUUUUAAACCCUAAACUGAACUCUUUCCUUUAAUCAGGAUUAGGGUUUUAAACCUUAAACUGAACUUUUCCCUUCAGUCAGCAUUAGGGUUUUAGACCCUAAACUGAACUUUUCCUGUAGUCAGCAUUAGGGUUUUAA